rnacentral:rRNA from 1 species
UACGUAGGGGGCAAGCGUUGUCCGGAAUCAUUGGGCGUAAAGAGCGUGUAGGCGGCCCGGUAAGUCCGCUGUGAAAGUCGGGGGCUCAACCCUCGGAUGCCGGUGGAUACUGUCGGGCUCGAGUACGGAAGAGGCGAGUGGAAUUCCUGGUGUAGCGGUGAAAUGCGCAGAUAUCGGGAGGAACACCAGUGGCGAAGGCGGCUACCUGGCCCAUUCUUGACGCUGAGGCGCGAAAGCUAGGGGAGCGAACGGGG